rnacentral:rRNA from 1 species
AGUUUGUAUACCGCUGUUGUCAGUCAGUUUCUUUAGAAAACUUUCUUAUAUGAAAAAAUCAUCGACUUCAAGUAAAGGUGCAGCUUAUGUAAAAGAUAGAGGUGGGUUACAUUUAUAAGAAUAAAACAAAUGAAGUUCAUGAAAUAACUUUUGAAGGUGGAUUUAAUUGUAAAGUUUAAUAAGACUUGAUGAGAGCUCUAUCUUGUGUACAC